rnacentral:rRNA from 1 species
GAAUUUUGGACAAUGGGGGAAAGCCUGAUCCAGCAAUGCCGCGUGCAGGAUGAAGGCCUUCGGGUUGUAAGCUGCUUGUGUCCGGAACGAAAAGCUUUGGGAUAAUACCCUGGAGUCAUGACGGUACCGUCAGAAUAAGCACCGGCUAAUUACGUGCCAGCAGCCGAGGUAAUACGUAGGGUGCACGCGUUCAUCGGAAUUACUUGGCGUAAAGCGUGCGCAGUCGGUUUUGUAAGACGUCGGUGAAAUCCCCGGGCUCAACCUGGGAACUGCCUUUGUGACUGCAAGGCUAGAGUACGGCAGAGGGGGGUGGAAUUCCGCGUGUAGCAGUGAAAUGCGUAGAUAUGCGGAGGAACACCGAUGGCGAAGGCAACCCCCUGGGCCUGUACUGACGCUCAUGCACGAAAGCGUGGGGAGCAAACA